UGCCUUGGCUUCCCUUGGUGUCUGGUUC
rnacentral:piRNA from 1 species